rnacentral:rRNA from 1 species
CAGUUUAGUAAAGACAAUACAGAACUGGCAGCUGCUUUCGAUGUCGCACCCUUAUAAAUUUCGUCUCUACGGCUGUACUAAAAAACACACGCACACAUAAGAAUUUCUGCUCGUAGCAUCGGUCUCAGUUCAGUUGAGUAAGAACAGACACGUAGUAAGCUCUAGAGCAACCCAACCAAAGAUGUUUAGUGUUCGACUCCGAUCGUUCCUUCGCUAAGAAGAGACCUCGAAGUAGCAGGGGCCGGCAAAGGAAGAAGAGAACUGAGAAGUGUCGACGAUGCCUCCUAGGGGGUCUUUACCGCUGCCCCCGAUCGCCUCCCGUCGGCUCGCAAGACUCGUGUAAUGGGUUCCUAGACGGUGAUCUAAAAGACUUCUGGUAGUGGCUAGUCAAGAGUGGUCUCGUAUAUGAGCCAUGUCCGCGUAAACCUUGACAAAUAUACCCCUAACGCGGCCUGCCCGUCUUUUAAUGACAGUUCUUUGAACGCCCUUUGAGCGGUUAGCGUGCACUGUUUGAUAAAUGAUUGCUCCAAGUCUUAUAAUACCGAGACGUAGUACUCUUACAUCACUUCAACCAGCCGAUGACGGUACUUCGUGUUUUCUUUCACCACGUCUUGUUACCUUCUAUAUAACAACGUCUGUAACAACUUUCAAAUGAGACGAUGCUCAUAAACGGGGUCCCCUUGGAAGUCUUCUUAGAAAAACUCCAUAGGACACAUUACCUGACUCUAUGUGCGAAGUUUUAGUAGUUCCCCUAGACGGUUCCAAAUCGGAAGGACGUGUCGUAAUUGUAACAGGUAUACCUAGAAUUUGGACUCUUAUAUAACGACCUACCAUUCUACUAGGACUUUUAACGCCUAAAGCCAGAGAGCUCCGAGAAGCCAGUUCUUGUUUGUGCCUACUCUUGUGUUUUACAACAACCUAGCAUACCUAUGUAUCGAGGUCUUAUAGAUAUGUUUCCACUCUAGAGGUGGUUCAGUCUGUAUAUAUCAGAACCGGAUAAUUAGAACCUCUGGUGGUGUCAACUCUUUUUAACAAGGUUGUUGCUUGGUAGACGCUGCGUUAAAUAUUUUUCGCAUGUACUAUUGACCUGCCUACUCGUGUAUCACAGAGUCACCGGUGUAGAACUAUCCCUAGCGAAAGUCGUCUAUUUUCAUACGUAGUUUUAACCUGAUCUUACACACCUCUAGCUAGCCGUCUUCUCUGGAAGGUAUCUUCUCUAACAGUUAUCCGAGUUGCCUGAUACCAGUUGACCUUCAACUUACGGUAUACGCUAUAGGUCAAAGGUGCCUCGUACUUUGAAGCCAGAAAAGUCGUCUCUACACCUUCUACCUUGUUGUACGAAGUAACAACGAUGCUACUAAAACUUUAUUAAGAAAGACUACACGCAGUAACACCUAGAACAAUUGUUAUGAAAGAAAAUGGGUUGAUGCAUCAACAAAAAAUUACAGUCAUGGCUAUUCUUGUGCUGAUCCGUCGCCGCGGGGUCCCGACUAAAGGGUACACCGCAGUAUAAAGGAGAAGAGAUAAAGUACAUACGUUGUUAUAUAACCACUGCAACAACCGCCUUCGGCGCAACCGGUACGGGUAGGCCAGGAAGUACUUCAACUGCUCCAACCACGAGUACGGCAUCAUCCGGUCGGCGAGCGUCGUGAGCGAGCGACGUACGUUGGCUAGUUUGUGGAACUGCGGUACUUGUGGUCGUUCUUGUCUUCGUCUCACUUCGUCUCGUUGUGCUUGUUACCACAGCACACAUACACAAGCGUGUGCUUGUGCAGCGGCACAUGGAGGUUGCAGUUCCCACUACGUGGCGUCGAGUGCAGCUUCCUCUGGGCGGGCCUUCGCGCCAUGCGUACGUUAGGCCGCCCACGAAAACUCCUGGGCUUUGGGGUGUGCGAGCCCUUCCUGGGGUAGACCCGCGCGUCGCCGAUACCCGACGGGAUC